GGGCCCACCUGUCAUCCCCUUCCCCAUCUUCUACCCCUCUUCUUGAUGCACUCGUCAGAUUGGACACCGUCGGGGGCGCCGCCCGCGGCCAACCACCGCCGCAGCAAAGUCGCCGCCGGAGCCCACCGCGCUGCUCGGCGACCCUCAUCUCAGUGCUCGCUCCUCGCCCGAACCGGCGACAGAAGCCGCAUCGGCCUCCUCCGCUGGCUGACGGCGGCGCGCCCCGGCUGACCACGGCCUCUCUCCAUCGACGCAGUUCGCAGCACGCGAUAGCCACAAGCACGGCCGCCGGCGCAGGGCCGCGCUCGAUGUACCGCCGGGGGCAUCGCUCUCGGGCGGAUGCCAGCCUUCUCCGGUAGUGUCUCCCCCUUGGGGAUGGAGCUCAUCCCCUCUGCAAGCUCCGUCCACCUCUGGCCUAUCCCCGCCGGCUACCCGAACCACGCCGGCCUCCACUGCACUUAGGCCAGAAGAUUCAGACAGGGGACCAAACUGGAGUACUGGCCCCCGGCCCGCCCCCAUACCAGGCUCGGAUCGCGAGCAUCGGUGCUCAAUGCCUCAACGUCAAGUAUGCACAUUGUGUGGCAAUUAUUGUAUUGCAAGCAAGGUUCAAUUUCAUUGCAGAGCACUUCAAACAGCUCCGAGCUGAAGAUGCUGGAUGGCACGGGCCAGGACCGGCGUGUCAGCAAGAUGGGAGAAGCCGGUGCACGGGAGGAACUCUGAUGCAGGCAAGCCCAUUGAUGUCUCCGAUGCUGCUCGGCGUAACUCCUGUCCCACGGUUGCAGCUGAUUUUAACACUGUCCUUCUCCGGUGACCAGCACAUAGGUUCUGACAGGUGUGCUCCCAGGUUGUGGCACAAUGUUGCCCAGUUUUCACGCGUCGGAUUACCUGUGCUUUGCAAGUACCGGGCUGUAGUAACAAGAGCAAGGGGUAAACCAUCACACUUCUUCAGUGCUUCCGAGCCAAGCUGAUCCUCUUUACCGAUUGGCGGAUCAUCGUCUUGGAAAGCUUCCUUGAAAAACAACUGCCUCGAGU